CCGACUUACGUUGAAAAGUGAGCGGAUGAACUGAGGGUAGCGGAGAAAUUCCAAUCGAACCUGGAGAUAGCUGGUUCUCUCCGAAAUAGCUUUAGGGCUAGCCUCAAGUGAUGAUUAUUGGAGGUAGAGCACUGUUUGGACGAGGGGCCCCUCUCGGGUUACCGAAUUCAGACAAACUCCGAAUGCCAAUUAAUUUAACUUGGGAGUCAGAACAUGGGUGAUAAGGUCCGUGUUCGAAAGGGAAACAGCCCAGACCACCAGCUAAGGUCCCAAAAUAUAUGUUAAGUGGAAAAGGAUGUGGCGUUGCCCAGACAACUAGGAUGUUGGCUUAGAAGCAGCCAUCAUUUAAAGAGUGCGUAAUAGCUCACUAGUCGAGUGACACUGCGCCGAAAAUGUACCGGGGCUAAACAUAUUACCGAAGCUGUGGAUUGUCCUUUGGACAAUGGUAGGAGAGCGUUCUAAGGGCGUUGAAGCAUGAUCGUAAGGACAUGUGGAGCGCUUAGAAGUGAGAAUGCCGGUGUGAGUAGCGAAAGACGGGUGAGAAUCCCGUCCACCGAUUGACUAAGGUUUCCAGAGGAAGGCUCGUCCGCUCUGGGUUAGUCGGGUCCUAAGCUGAGGCCGACAGGCGUAGGCGAUGGAUAACAGGUUGAUAUUCCUGUACCACCUAUAAUCGUUUUAAUCGAUGGGGGGACGCAGUAGGAUAGGCGAAGCGUGCGAUUGGAUUGCACGUCUAAGCAGUAAGGCUGAGUAUUAGGCAAAUCCGGUACUCGUUAAGGCUGAGCUGUGAUGGGGAGAAGAUAUUG
rnacentral:rRNA from 1 species